rnacentral:rRNA from 1 species
AUACGUAGGGGGCGAGCGUUGUCCGGAAUGAUUGGGCGUAAAGGGCGCGUAGGCGGCCCGGUAAGUCUGGAGUGAAAGUCCUGUUUUUAAGAUGGGAAUUGCUUUGGAUACUGUCGGGCUUGAGUGCAGGAGAGGUAAGUGGAAUUCCCAGUGUAGCGGUGAAAUGCGUAGAGAUUGGGAGGAACAACAGUGGCGAAGGCGACUUACUGGACUGUAACCGACGCUGAGGCGCGAAAGUGUGGGGAGCAAACAGGAUUAGAUACCCUGGUAGUCCACACUGUAAACGAUGAAUGCUAGGUGUAGGGGGUAUCGACCCCUUCUGUGCCGCAGUCUACACAAUAAGCAUUCCGCCUGGGGAGUACGGCCGCAAGGUUGAAACUCAAAGGAAUUGACGGGG